AUUGAACGCUGGCGGCAUGCCUUACACAUGCAAGUCGAACGGCAGCGGGGACUUCGGUCCGCCGGCGAGUGGCGAACGGGUGAGUAAUGUAUCGGAACGUACCAUUGAGUGGGGGAUAACUAUCCGAAAGGAUAGCUAAUACCGCAUAUUCUCUCCGGAGGAAAGCAGGGGACCGCAAGGCCUUGCGCUCAUUGAGCGGCCGAUAUCAGAUUAGCUAGUUGGUGGGGUAAAAGCUCACCAAGGCGACGAUCUGUAGCGGGUCUGAGAGGAUGAUCCGCCACACUGGAACUGAGACACGGUCCAGACUCAUACGGGAGGCAGCAGUGGGGAAUUUUGGACAAUGGGGGCAACCCUGAUCCAGCCAUGCCGCGUGAGUGAAGAAGGCCUUCGGGUUGUAAAGCUCUUUCGGCCGGGAAAAAAUCGCAUGGGCUAAUAUCCUGUGUGGAUGAUGGUACCGGAAUAAGAAGCACCGGCUAACUACGUGCCAGCCGCCGCGGUAA
rnacentral:rRNA from 1 species